UUGGAGGGCAAGUCUGGUGCCAGUAGCCAUAGUAAUUCCAGCUCCAAUAGCAUAUAUUAAAGUUGUUGCAGUUAAAAAGCUUGUAGUUGAACUUUGGGAUCUAUCCAUUGGUCAGGUUUAACUGUCUGUACUGGUGUGAUGAAUUUCUACCUUCUGAGAAAUCAUUAUGCCAUUCACUAUUAUUUUGAAGAAAUUAGAGUGUUUAAAGCAGGCUAACGUCUGAAUACAUUAGCAUGGAAUAACGGAAUAGGACGUUUGAUUCUAUUUUGUUGGUUUCUAGGAUCGACGUAAUGAUUAAUAGGGAUAGUUGGGGGCAUUAGUAUUCAAUUGUCAGAGGUGAAAUUCUUGGAUUUAUUGAAGACUAACUACUGCGAAAGCAUUUGCCAAGGAUGUUUUCAUUAAUCAAGAACGAAAGUUAGGGGAUCGAAGACGAUCAGAUACCGUCGUAGUCUUAGCCAUAAACUAUGCCGACUAGGGAUCGGAUGAUGUUAAUUUUUAAUG
rnacentral:rRNA from 1 species